rnacentral:tRNA from 1 species
AUUCAAAAAUCGGGUGCUAAAAUAAGAAGACGCAUAGAGGUUCGAAUCCUCUUCGAGGCA